UAGGCCUAACCUUAAAAGGAUUUAUCUUGAUAGGGUAAAACGUAAAAGGCCUAG
rnacentral:tRNA from 1 species